rnacentral:rRNA from 1 species
GACGAGGGAUCCUAGCGUUGUUCGGAAUCAUUGGGCGUAAAGCGGGUGUAGGCGGGCCUAUAAGUCAGAUGUGAAAUCCCAGGGCUUAACUCUGGAAGUGCAUUUGAUACUGUAGGCCUUGAAUGUGGUAGAGGUUACUGGAAUUCCUGGUGUAGUGGUGAAAUACGUAGAUAUCAGGAGGAAUACCGGAGGCGAAGGCGGGUAACUGGGCCAACAUUGACGCUGAGAUCCGAAAGCGUGGGGAUCAAACAGG